AGUGGCGACCGGGUGAGUAACACGUGACUAACCUACCUUUUAGUGGGGGAUAACAUCGGGAAACCGAUGCUAAUACCGCAUAACAUCGCAAGAUCAAAGCAGCAAUGCGCUGGAAGAGGGGGUCGCGGCUGAUUAGCUAGUUGGCGGGGUAACGGCCCACCAAGGCGAAGAUCGGUAUCCGGCCUGAGAGGGCGCACGGACACACUGGAACUGAAACACGGUCCAGACUCCUACGGGAGGCAGCAGUGGGGAAUUUUGCGCAAUGGGGGAAACCCUGACGCAGCAACGCCGCGUGGAGGAUGAAGCCCCUUGGGGCGUAAACUCCUUUCGACCAAGACGAUAAUGACGGUACUGGUGGAAGAAGCACCGGCUAACUCUGUGCCAGCAGCCGCGGUAAUACAGAGGGUGCAAGCGUUGUUCGGAAUUAUUGGGCGUAAAGGGCGCGUAGGCGGUGCCACAAGUCACUUGUGAAAUCUCCGGGCUUAACUCGGAGCCUGCAGGCGA
rnacentral:rRNA from 1 species